rnacentral:lncRNA from 1 species
ACUUCUUUACAUUAUGCAUCAAGGAUCAUGUCCAAACAACUCGUCUUUGUACAAUGGAAAGAUAAACUUGAAUGAAAACCAAAUGACAACAUAACCUAGGAAAAUUUGAAAAAAAUAAAUAAAUAAAUAAAAUACACCUUUGCAUCACUUGGGUUGUGGUCAAAUUGCCCCAUAAUCCAACCCACUCAAUGCACACAUUAAGAACACAUCAGUCUUCCAUGAAGAGAAUGCAGAUACUUAGCAGGGAAUAGUUAGACCUUCCUGAUCAAUCAUCGUUAGUUGCACAAACACACCCAAUUGUGGCUUUGCAAACAAAAUGCAUGAAACUCAUGCAACAAAACAUGCAACCCAAGUCCCCGAUCUGUGAGUAGGAACAAGCAUUUGUAGCGUUACAAUCUCACGUUCAGACGAAUGGCAAAGACUACUAGAUGAUGCACAGUCCAUGUUUCAGAAAAUUAGCAUGUUGGUUUUUUUAUUUUUUAUUUUUUUUACGUGAAUAUUCUGCAUGGCACAUCUGCAACAGAAAAUUGUGGAGGGACACUAUCCAUGGAGAAAUGAUCUCAGGCAACAUUUGCGGAUGCCCUGAGACUACAGCAACUUUUUGUAUGGACAUAGAAUCAAUUCUCUGCGCUUUUAGAUCGAAAAGUUUGUUUGUGUUUGUGUUUGUGUGUUUUGGUGUUACAUGAACUUCUUCUUCGUUGUUCGUCUUGUUCGUUGUCUUUCCGUUGUCUCGUUCCACCUCUUUCGAUGGCAUGCGACAAUUUGCUUCUAAAAAUUGUUGCGUAGAGGGACAACAUCAUAAAUGACAUGGCUAUUUGUAUAUUAGUACAACAAGUGCUUCUGAUAGAAAGGUUUUGAUUGUCAAUGAGAAGUAGUUGUGAUUGUUGCAAAUACACUCGUAGACUCUGAAAGUUUGCUGAGAGACAAAGUUGUCUCGAUACACUCUCUAUACAAAAUGUUUUGUCUGCACUUGCGUGAAUCAAGUACAAGCUAUUGCUUGAGGCCGUAGAGAACAAACCUGUGGACCACUGCCUUGAUAUUGCAGUUUCUGAAGGAAUUUGCCCACUUCACAACAUGUUUGUGUAUUUUGGGAAUGCACAGGCGCAGUUAAUCUAUCAAAACUAGCUUCAAUGCAGUGAAGAAUCAAACCCACAAUUGGAUUAGUUGUGAACUUGCCUUCCCUUCCCUUCCCUACUUCACUGGGUACAAGUCUACACAUGCUUGCAAUAAGCAGCAACUCAUGCCGAGCCAAACCCUAUCUUCCCACUUUGCUUUUUUUUAGCAACAUGUUGCAAAAACAAAAUUUUGUUGUUAUUUUUGUUCAUGUUUCUGUCCGCAAUUUAAAGUGGUUCUCGCCUCAAACAAAGCCAAUCCUGAAAAAAUCUGAAAU